GCCUACGGGAGGCAGCAGUGGGGAAUAUUGCACAAUGGGGGAAACCCUGAUGCAGCGACGCCGCGUGGGCGAGGAAGUACCUCGGUAUGUAAAGCCCUAUCAGCAGGGAAGAAACAGGACAGUACCUGACUAAGAAGCCCCGGCUAACUACGUGCCAGCAGCCGCGGUAAUACGUAGGGGGCAAGCGUUAUCCGGAUUUACUGGGUGUAAAGGGAGCGUAGACGGUAUGGCAAGUCUGAUGUGAAAACCCGGGGCUCAACCCCGGGACUGCAUUGGAAACUGCCGAACUAGAGUGUCGGAGAGGC
rnacentral:rRNA from 1 species